rnacentral:rRNA from 1 species
UACGUAGGCAGCGAGCGUUGUUCGGAGUUACUGGGCGUAAAGGGUGUGUAGGCGGUUCUCUAAGUUUGGUGUGAAAUCUCCCGGCUCAACUGGGAGGGUGCGCCGAAUACUGAAUGACUAGAGUGCGGGAGAGGAAAGUGGAAUUCCUGGUGUAGCGGUGAAAUGCGUAGAUAUCAGGAGGAACACCGGUGGUGUAGACGGCUUUCUGGACCGUAACUGACGCUGAGACACGAAAGCGUGGGUAGCAAACAGG